rnacentral:tRNA from 1 species
GGGGAUGUGGCUUAGUGGUAGAGUGCUUGCCUAGUAUGCAUGAAGCCCUGGGUUCAUUUCCU